UACGUAGGGUGCGAGCGUUGUCCGGAAUUACUGGGCGUAAAGAGCUCGUAGGCGGUUUGUCGCGUCUGCUGUGAAAACCUAAGGCUCAACCUUGGGCUUGCAGUGGGUACGGGCAGACUAGAGUGGCGGUAGGGGUGACUGGAAUUCCUGGUGUAGCGGUGGAAUGCGCAGAUAUCAGGAGGAACACCGAUGGCGAAAGGCAGG
rnacentral:rRNA from 1 species